rnacentral:misc_RNA from 1 species
CAGAGUUAUCAAAACUCCCAAACCCAUGUGAACAUACCUCGCGUUGCCUCGGCAGGUGGCGUCCCGCCCCGUAAGGCCCUACCCUGUAGGGCCCUACCCGGUGGGCGACCCUGCCGACGGCCCCCGAAACUCUGUUUUUUAUAGCAUUGAACUUCUGAAAAGAUAACUAAAUAAGUUA